rnacentral:rRNA from 1 species
AGUGAACGCUGGCGGUAGGCCUAACACAUGCAAGUCGAACGGCAGCACAGUAAGAGCUUGCUCUUACGGGUGGCGAGUGGCGGACGGGUGGGGAAUACAUCGGAAUCUACUUUUUCGUGGGGGAUAACGUAGGGAAACUUACGCUAAUACCGCAUACGACCUACGGGUGAAAGCAGGGGAUCUUCGGACCUUGCGCGAUUGAAUGAGCCGAUGUCGGAUUAGCUAGUUGGCGGGGUAAAGGCCCACCAAGGCGACGAUCCGUAGCUGGUCUGAGAGGAUGAUCAGCCACACUGGAACUGAGACACGGUCCAGACUCCUACGGGAGGCAGCAGUGGGGAAUAUUGGACAAUGGGCGCAAGCCUGAUCCAGCCAUACCGCGUGGGUGAAGAAGGCCUUCGGGUUGUAAAGUCCUUUUGUUGGGAAAGAAAAGCAGCAGGUUAAUACCCCGCUGUUCUGACGGUACCCAAAGAAUAAGCACCGGCUAACUUCGUG